AGUUGUACCCAUCUCCAGUUGCCUCUUUUCCAAGCUGAAAGCAUGUGGUUGGCCUCUUUAUAACUGCAUAUCAUUAAGCCAAUAUUUCCAUGGAAUUAUCCAUAAUGGUUCAGAGAUUUUUGUGCCGAGUGAUAAUAGCCAGGGUCCGUUGUGGUUUAGAUCUAAUUAGGAUUGUUUUCCCUCAUACGCAUUACUUUGCAUUCAUCAAUACCCUCUGCUGUUUUAUUGUUUUGUAUUUCAAGGCCCUCACAACUCCUUGCAUUAAUACUGACUACCCAGGGUGGCUGUAAGGGAAACUGUUGAUUAUAGCCUGAACCUCUGAUUAACCAUCUGAGGCAAACAAGAGUCAGCUGUGGGAGCACAGUUGAAGGUAAUUCAGCUGUGCUCCCGGAAGGUGUAGAGCUUGGCUCCAUCUCUCCUAGAUCCCAUUUAAGGGCUGACCACCACUAAGGUAGCGUCUUUUUCUGGUGACUGCUCCUUUGUGAAGUUCUUGUGCUGAGCUCCAGCACUGGUGAGCAUCCAUCUUGACUGAAGGACUCAGAAUUGAUGACAGCUCCUCUGGCACUUACAUGUUCCCAGGAAUGGGACGGUGCAGUUUCUUGGCUUUGUCGAGGGUACUGCAGUUUUUUCAGGCUGUUUAGCAGUCUGAACACAAAUCUUCCCAGAAAAGCUCUGAAAUGAUCCUGUUCACUGAAGAAACCGGGGAGGAAGGGAAUUGGUGUUCCCAAAGCUCUGCUUUCUCUUGUCAGAAGAUGCUUUCACCUGGAAGGCAACAAGGGUAAAAAUCCACAUCAACAAUCUUAUGUGUCACUCACUCAGCUCUCAGAUUAAUGUGAAAGUUAUAAAAAAGAAAGACAUGUUAGUUUUCACAGUCACUUAGUUUAUUGGCUGACAUAAGCACACCAAGAGAGUUCAUAUUCUCAAGGAAAUUCAGAAGCUUUCCAUAAUCGAGGAUUCCAAAUUGUCACGUGCUGUCAUUCUUUUUUAUUCCACUUAAUGAUGUAUGAUUUUAUUCAAAUAAAUUUCAAAAGAAGU